UUAGAGAGAGAGAGUUAACUGAAGAAAAAGAGGAAUAGAAAUUGAAAAAAAGCCCCGGAAAUGAUGUAUAGAACUUACCUCACGACACUGCCCCUCGGAAACUGGUGACGAGUCUGUCUAUGGCUUGGCAGGAACACUAAAGAGAGAGAGAAAGAGAGAGAGAGAGGGAGUUAACUGCAGAAGAAGAGGAAUAGGAACUGAAAAAAAGCCCAGGAAAUGAUGUAUAGAGCUUACCUCACGACACUGCCCCUCGGAAAUCAGCGUAGAGUCUGUCCACGGCUUGGCAGGAACACUAGAGAGAGAGAGAGAGAGAGAGAGAGAGAGAGAGAGAGAGAGAGAGAGAGUUAACUAAAGAAAAAGAGGAAUAGAAAUUGAAAAAAGCACCAGAAAUGAUAUAUAGAACUUACCUCACGACACUGCCCCUCGGAACCAGCGUUGAGUCUCUGUCUAUAGCUUGGCAGGAACACUAAAGAAAGAGAGAGAGAGAGAAAGGUGACCGAAGAAGAGGAGGAAGGAAAACGCAAGAAGGAAGAGCCAGAAACGGUAUUGAACUUACCUCACAACACUCUGCCCCUCGGAAACCAGCGUUGAGUCUGUCCACGGCUUGGGAGGAGGACUAGAGAGAGAGAGAGAGAGAGAGAGAGAGAGAGAGAGAGAGAGAGAGAGAGAGAGAAAGGUGUCUGAAGAAGAGGAAGGAAAACGUAAGAAAGACAAGCCAGAAACGGUAUAGAACUUACCUCACGAUUCUCUGCCCCUCGGAAACCAGCGAUGGGCCACUGAUUUGGGUCUCGGAGAAGAAGAAGAAGAAGAAGAAGAAGAAGGAGAAGGAGAAAUGAAAAUAGGAGGAAAAAUAAAGAAGGAGGUGCCAGAAAGACGUCAAAAUCUUACCUCAUGACGCUAUGCCCCUCGGAAACCAGCGAUGAGACUUUGCGUAGGAGCUAGAGAGAGAGAGAGAGAGAGAGAGAGAGAGAGAGAGAGAGAGAGAGAGAGAGAGAGGAAGAAAAGGAAGAAAAAAGGAAGAAAGACGAGCCAGAAAUGAUGUCAAAACCUUACCUCAUGAUGCUAUGCCCCUCGGAAACCAGCGAUGAGAUUUUGCAUAGGAGCUAGAGAGAGAGAGAGAGAGAGAGAGAGAGAGAGAGAGAGAGAGAGAGAGAGAGAGAAAAGGAAGAAAAAAGGAAGAAAGAUGAGCCAGAAAUGACUUCAAAACCUUACCUCACGACGCUAUGCCCCUCGGAAACCAGCGAUGAGAUUUUGCAUAGGAGCCAGAGAGAGAGAGAGAAAAGGAAGAAAAGGAAGAACAGGAAGAAAAACGGAAGAAAGACGAGCCAGAAACGACUUCUAAACCUUACCUCACGACGCUAUGCCCCUCGGAAACCAGCGAUGAGAUUUUGAGAGAGAGAAAGAGAUAGACAGAGAGCGAGCGAGAGAGAGUUAACUAAAGAAAAAAAGGAAGAAAAAGAAGAAAAAAGGUCCAGAACAGUGCCAGAUCUUAUACCUCAAGUCGCUGUGCUCUCAAAACGCAGCGUCGACAAAAGAUUAAAAAGUCGUGUGUGAAGCGAGGAACCGCGGAGCAAAGACGGGACACGGUGAAGCCUCGGUGCGUUGGCCGGUGGCACAGAGGUCUCGCGGUGCUGGGCGGGCGGCUCAGACGAAGGCGAGGGUGCGGCCAAUCUUGCUGUAGGGGUUUUAUUGUGAUUAUUUUUAUGGUUAAAAUGGCGAGGGUUGGAGGAGGGAAGGAAGGAAGGAGGGAAAGAAAGAAAGGAAAAAGAGAGGAAGGAAGGAAGAAAGAAAGAAAGAAAGAAAGAAAGGAAGGAAGGAAGGACCGAGAGAGAGAGAGAGAGAGACCAGGACAUACUCAGAGUGGCCGUCAAUAACCCCCAUCAAAAACAACAACUACUACUACUACUACUACUACUACUACUACUACUACUACUACUACUACAACAACACUCACUCACUCACUCUUGUUCGCUCUGUCUUAUUUUGGUAUAAUUAUAAGCUCUUUUUAGACAACACCUGUAUCUUUUUUUUUUUUUAACCUAUAUUCUCGUUUUUUAAUUUCUAUGUUACCUUUUUUGAGUAAUUUAUGAAGGUGGGAAGGUCAUCUCGGUACAGUUUUUUUUACGUAAUGGCUGUAAUGUCUUUUUAUUUCUAUUUUUACGUAUAUUUUUUUGUAAUUAAAAGUGUUGGCUGUCAUAACUUCCUCUAUUUCUCUGUCGCCUUUCUUCAUAACGUCUGAAUUUGUGUGGUUAAUUUUGGCACAGGAACCUUCUUUUAAGACUGGCUGUACCUACUCCAUGUUCUCUCUCCUCUUAUCUCUCUCGGUAACUCCUGAAGGCAAUGACAAUAGGCAGUUUCAUUCUCAUCCUUCAGUAUCUCUAAGCCAUUUUACUUAUUUCCUCAUCCUUUGUCAAUACUAUCCGUCAUCCAUUCUUGGUAACUUAUAAGGUCGUCAGCUGUCCCUUCUUUAGCUUCAUGGUUCCUUAGUAGCGUUUGAAGGUGUUUGGUUCAAGAGUAAUGUUUCAGGAUGCGUUUAGGUUCUGCCUGGAACACACGCGACUACCUCAGAUGAUUUCAUGGUCUUGGCCGAUAGCACUCUCGUAUCUGCCUGGUCUGAUGUUUUUAAGCGUUGUUGCGCGCACACACACACACAGACACACACACACACACACACACACACACACACACACACACACACACACAAGUCUUCUGGACGUUCCUCGACUUUGGGCUCAAGAAAGAAGAAGAUGAAGAAGAAGAAGAAGAAGAAGAAGAAGAAGAAGAAGAAGAAGAAGAAGAAGAAGAAGAAGUAGAAGAAGAAGAAGAAAAAUUAUCUGCUCAAGGACCUCUCAAGAAAUUCCUAGGGCGAUUUCACGAUAGGUUUUUCUUAAUGAUUUUUUUUCUUCUUGUAUUAACAUAAAGACAAAGCAAAAUAAUACACUUUUUAAUCCUUCUUUUUUUGUAACGUAAAGAAAUUAAGUUGUCAAGACGAACAUUAAGUCUAUUUAAUCAUUAUUCAUUUUCGUAUCGUUUAAUUUGACGAUUUUUUUUGUACUGUAACUGUGUGUGUGUGUGUGUGUGUGUGUGUGUGUGUGUGUGUGUGCGCUGUGUCCCUGUGGAGCCUCAGUGGGGAAAGGAAGGGCACAGGGCAUAGCAAAGGGCAGCCAGGGAGUUUAUGAUAAGGUCUAUGGGUGGCUGGAACUCACCCUUGGCAGCCUUAGACUAGGAAAGACCUUAUGUUGUGUGUGAGGGGGUACGGAAGGUCUCAGGGCAUAGCAUAGGGCAGCCAGGUUGUCGCUAAAAUGGUCUGUGUAUCGUAGUCUGUGGGCGGCUUAGAACUCACGCCCUUGGCAGCCUUAGACCGAGAAAGACCUAUGUUAUGUGUGAGGGGGUACGGAAGGUCUCAGGGCAUAGCAUAGGGCAGCCAGGAUGUCGCUAAAACGGUCUGUGUAUCGUAGUCUGUGGGCGGCUUAGAACUCACGCCCUUGGCAACCUUAGACCAGGGAAGACCUUAUGUUGUGUGUGAGGGGGUACGGAGGGUCUCAGGGCAUAGCAUAGGGCAGCCAGGAUGUCGCUAAAAUGGUCUGUGUAUCGUAGUCUGUGGGCUACUUAGAACUCACCCUUGGCAGCCUUAGACCGAGAAAGACCUUAUGUUGUGUGUGAGGGGGUACGGAGGGUCUCAGGGCAGAGUGUAGGGCCGCCAGAGGGUCGAUAAAAUGGUCUGUGUAUCGUAGUCUGUGGGCGGCUUAGAACUCACACCCUUGGCAGCCUUAGACCGAGAAAGACCUUAUGUUGUGUGUGAGGGGGUACGGAGGGGCUCAGGGCAUAGCAUAGGGCAGCCAGGGAGUCUAAACUAAGUUGGUGUUCCAUAGUCUGUGGGCAGCUGAGAACUCCUACUGCCAGCCUAAGAUGAAGGGGGAGUGUGUGUGUGACUCCCUACAGCUCUUAGACCGGUAGACAAGACCCCCUCGUGGCUGCUCGCUGGGUCUGAAGUGAAGGAUCUCCAUGCAGUCGGCCCGGGCUGGCGUGUGUGUGUGUGUGGCCGGCCAGGGUGCGACUGUUUACUGUAGAUAUUAUUAUUGUGUCGCCUUCGGAAACAAACUGCUUGAGUGAUUUUUUCGUUCGUGAAAUGGAAAAACUGUCUUGGGUUGUGAUGUAGGCAGGAAGGUGAAGAUUUUUAAAACACUCACACUCUAGGAUGAUAUAUACUUUUUUUACGUGAAACAAAGCAUCUCUGUUAAAGCAAGUCGGCUGUCAUCAGAACCAUCAAUUAACCCAGUAGCAGCGGGGAUCAUGUUUCUUAACGGUCCCUCUAAGCGAGAAAAAUGAAAAAAAAACAUCACUCACGCAAACCAUUUCAUAAUAUAUAUCAACGUAUUUGUGAUCAGUUUGUGUAUCAUCUAUUUUUGGGGGCUUAUAUCAUGGCACAAAAUUAGCCCGUCACUGCUACACGGUAAAGCCACAAAUUUGCCCCGUCACUGCUACACGGUAAAGCCACAAAUUUGCCCCGUCACUGCUACACGGUAAAGCCACAAAUUUGCCCCAUCGCUGCUACACGGUAAAGCCACAAAUUUGCCCCGUCACUGCUACACGGUAAAGCCACAAAUUUGCCCCGUCACUGCUACACGGUAAAGCCACAAAUUUGCCCCGUCACUGCUACACGGUAAAGCCACAAAUUUGCCCCGUCGCUGCUACCGGGUUAAGCACUACUCAUAUUAACAGAUCAGUGUCCAGAAGAGGUUGAUGAUAAAGUAUUAAUUAAUGAUAAAAAAAUCCUUCAUCCCCAAACAUCAGGAAUUCGCCCCCAAAAUCACUGUAGGAGUUUGUUUACGAUGGUGACGAUUUUUAUUUUAUUUUAAUUUCUAUAUUUUUUGUAGAAUUGCUGCUCAUCGUGACAGGAGGAGGAGGAGGAGGAGGAGGUGGAGACGCUUCCGGCCGGGUACAAUGGAUGGAUUACUCAUGUGUAUCGGGACUUGACUUUGCUCGCCGGGUGAAUAAGACAAAAUCGUGCCUUGACGGAGCUCCUCAAGGCUACAGGGAGGAAAUAAUUACAAGGGAAAAAGUAAAGUUCAAGGGGAAAAAGUAUGAUUCUAGAGGAAAAAAGUGAAGUUCAAUGGAGGGAAAAAUAGUAUGAUUCUCGAGGGAAAAAGUAAGGAAAAAAGUAAAGUUUGAGAGGGGAAAAAGUAUGAUUCUAGAGGGAAAAAGUAAGGUUCAAGAGGGGAAAAGUAUGAUUCUAGAGGAAAAAAGUAAGGAAAAAAGUAAAGUUUUAGAGGGGAAAAAGUAUGAUUCUAGAGGAAAAAAGUAAGGUUCAAGGGGGAAAAAAAGUAUGAUUCUAGAGGAAAAAAGUAAAGUUCAAGGGGGAAAAGUAUGAUUCUAGAGGAAAAAAGUAAGGCUCAAGGGGGGAAAAAAGUAUGAUUCUAGAGGAAAAAAGUAAGGUUCAAGGGGGGGAAAAAGUAUGAUUCUAGAGGAAAAAAGUAAGGAAAAAAGUAAAGUUUGAGAGGGGAAAAAGUAUGAUUCUAGAGGAAAAAAGUAAAGUUCAAGAGGGAAAAAAAGUAUGAUUCUAGAGGAAAAAAGUAAAGUUCAAUGGAGGGAAAAAGUAUGAUUCUCGAGGGGAAAAAGUAAGGUUCUCGGGCUGGAAAAAAGGUCUCGUCUUGGCCAGUAUACAAAAGCAUAAUUUCCUCAAAACCCAAAAUCCAAAAAAAGAUAAAAAACGACAAAAAACUCAAAAAGGGACAAAGUACUUUAAUUUUUGAUAGGCUAACUUUUUUACACCUUAGGGAAUAAUUACGUACCAUUAAUUUUACGCGCGUGUCGACACACCCUCGGACGGACAAGCAGAAGUCUCGGAAAAUAAAAAAAUAAAUAAAACGAAAAACAAAAUCAGCGUUGCAUCCUGGACCCGGCUGAGCGUGAAGCAGAAGUGUGAAGUGUGUAUAAAGGCAAGUUUUUUGUACGUUUUUACCAAAUGUAGUGAAGUGUUGCGUUGAAAUGUGACAUGACGUUGACCGGGAACAUGUCUCAGCGUGUUCGGACGUGUCUCAAGCGUGUCAAACCAGUGUGGUGCAGCAGCUUAGGGGCAGAGGGCGAGGAUGGACACGGACUCAGACAUUUCCCUUUGUGACAUUGGGUGUGUGUGUGUGUGUGUGUAUGUGUGUGUGUGGCUAUGUCCUGGACUGAAGCGUUCCCACCAGCCCACCAGCUUGAUCUCGGUGCUGUUCUGCUGCUCUGGUCACUCUGCUUCUCUGUUGCCUUUCCUCAGCGUGGCACAGACGGCACAGGAGACAGAGCACAGCAUCAUGGGACACAGAAGGCACACAGCAACUUGUCCAGACCAAAUGUGACUCGGCAAGUGGACCUAACCUGACCCCUCUCGGCCACACAUCCCUUGAGAGAGUGUGUGUGUGUGUGUGUGUGUGUGUGUGUGUGUGUGUGUGUGUGUGUGUGUCAGGGGUGGUGUGUGAGGUGCCAGUAGCUAUGCCUGGCUCCCUAGUGACACCCCUCAGUCUCACAUCCCUUGAGUGUGUGUGUAUGGGUGUGUGUUGUGUAUAGAUGCUUGUGUAUGUGUGUGUGUGUGUGUUUGGGAGGUGUCAGAAGCUAUACCUGGUUUCCAUAGUGACACCCCUCAGUCUCACAUCCCUUGAGUGUAUAUGUGUGUGUGUGUGUGUGUGUGGCAGGGGUGGUGUGUGGGGUGCCAGAGGUGUGCCGGAUCCCUAGUUGUGUGGCACCCAGACUGGCCCGCUCAGUGGUGCCGCGUUGCAAUAUUACCGGAAGACAGGCAAGACAACGUGUGUGUUUCUCUGCCUUAGGACCCGUGUCUCGCCGAGCGCUCGUCAAGUGAACAUUGUCAUAACUGCCUACAUUUUGGUGUAUUCUUUUAAGCAUUAUGCCCAUCUUGGUCAUACGUGAUAAUAAAAUAAUUUUUAUAC